rnacentral:sRNA from 1 species
GGAGCAGCAACGAUGUUACGCAGCAGGGCAGUCGCCCUAAAACAAAGUUAGCCAUAUCGGGAGUUAAAUUGAAAAUUUCAUU